rnacentral:rRNA from 1 species
UACGGGGGGGGCAAGCGUUGUUCGGAAUUACUGGGCGUAAAGGGCUUGUAGGCGGCCAACUAAGUCCGACGUGAAAUCCCCAGGCUUAACCUGGGAACUGCGUCGGAUACUGGAUGGCUUGAAUCCGGGAGAGGGAUGUGGAAUUCCAGGUGUAGCGGUGAAAUGCGUAGAUAUCUGGAGGAACACCGGUGGCGAAGGCGGCAUCCUGGACCGGUAUUGACGCUGAGGCGCGAAAGCCAGGGGAGCAAACGGG